rnacentral:rRNA from 1 species
CGGGUGAGUAACACGUGGAUAACCUACCUAUAAGACUGGGAUAACUUCGGGAAACCGGAGCUAAUACCGGAUAAUAUAUUGAACCGCAUGGUUCAAUAGUGAAAGACGGUUUUGCUGUCACUUAUAGAUGGAUCCGCGCUGCAUUAGCUAGUUGGUAAGGUAACGGCUUACCAAGGCAACGAUGCGUAGCCGACCUGAGAGGGUGAUCGGCCACACUGGAACUGAUACACGGUCCAGACUCCUACGAGAGGCAGCAGGC